rnacentral:lncRNA from 1 species
GCCACCCGGCUGGGAGCGGAGAGAGACUGACGGCGGAGGCGGGGGUCAGGGCGCGGACCCGGACCCCAGCCCCAUGGGGGACAGAGUCCAAAAGUAAGCGGGACCACGGGCAGAGCGGGCACCACAGCCGCGCCCUUCCAAGAAGCGCCUAGGAGGUGGCCGCGGUGUCAACGCCGUCCCUGAAUUUGUUUUAUUUGUGGUUCCAGAUAGCUCGCGUCCUUGGUGUUCGCCUUGUCGCAGGAGCCUCGCCAUCGCGCAAUCUGCACUCGCCCCUCUGCAGAUCUAAGGCCAGACCUGGGCCACCCUAACUUCUCGGUAUCUCCUAUUUCUAGAAACCGGCCGGGUGGAGGAUGCAGCCGGGCGUGGUGGCUACAAGGAAGUGCCCUGGUGUUAAGAACUCAGCCUCUGAAACCCGCCGCCCAGCUUCGAGUCAGCGACGUACUUUUGUUGUCCCGGCCUUAGUAUCCCCGCUGCAAUAAGAGGUACUCAGCUCAAACCAUCUGGGUGAGGAUUAAAGGAGUUCAUAUCCAUAAAGGACUAGAACAGGUCCUGGCACCACGUAAACAUUCUUAUCAUCAAAUGUGAAAAAACAAAGUUCUCUAAGAUUUCGAAAGUGAACAGGUUAUUUUUCUACGGAGUAUUUGUGUCUGUUUCAACGUAAAAUUCAAGGUGUAUAUUUCAAAAUAUAUAGCUAAAUGAAUGUCUAUUCUAUUAAAAUGAUAAGAGAAACCUCUAA